UGGCUCAGUCGGUAGAGCAUGUGACUCUUAAUCUCAGGGUUGUGAGUUCUAGCCCCAU
rnacentral:tRNA from 1 species